UAACAAAUAUUCCUGCUGUUCUGAUUUUGUAAUAAUCAGGACAGGCUAAACAUUUGCUAUAUUAAGACCAUACAUGUCUCCCCAGACUGAUUCUUCCCCUAGAUCUGGUUUUAUCAAUGCUGGUGAUUUAC